rnacentral:rRNA from 1 species
UACAGAGGUCUCAAGCGUUGUUCGGAUUCAUUGGGCGUAAAGGGCGCGUAGGCGGCGGGGUAAGUCGGGUGUGAAAUCUCAGGGCUCAACCCUGAAACUGCACUUGAUACUGCUCUGCUUGAGGACUGGAGAGGAGACUGGAAUUCACGGUGUAGCAGUGAAAUGCGUAGAUAUCGUGAGGAAGACCAGUGGCGAAGGCGGAUCUCUGGGCCAUUACUGACGCUGAGGAGCGAAAGCGUGGGGAGCGAACAGG